rnacentral:tRNA from 1 species
GGGCUUCUGGCGCAACGGUAGCGCGCCUGCAUGGCAUGCAGGAGGUUGCGGGUUCAAAUCCCGCGAAGUCCA